ensembl:snRNA U1 U1 spliceosomal RNA
CUACUGCAAGGCAGGGGAGAUGCCAUGAUCACCAAUGAGGUUUUGCCAGGGUGAUGUCUGUACAUUGCAGUCUGGGCGGGCUGACCCUUUUGAGCUUCCCCAAAUGUAGGAGACUACACUGCACAAUUUUGUGACAGUGGGGGUCUGCUUUCUUGCAUUCUUCCU